rnacentral:lncRNA from 1 species
GAUUUGCUUCAAAAUCCACGCCCCCGUUGACUAUUUCUGAUCGCCUCAAUGAGAGAAGUUUCCACUGUAAAAUUGAAGAAACUGGAGAACAACCUGCUAAUGACACAAAAAUUUCCAUUGGUCUUAAGGAAGAUAAGGGAAAUAAUGAUCAUAAAUCACAUUAUUUGUUCAACAACAUUUCAUCUUCGCCAGGAUUCACGAAUUCGGAGCAAAUGGCUUCAAUAUUUGCAAGGAGAUUUAUUGCCAUCAAACACAUCAUGCCGACAAACAAUGAAGGGAGUGCAAGACCGCAGCCUGAUGAAGCUGACUGUAUUUUAUCUGGUGGUACUAUUCAUGAUGGCAUCGAUCACGAAACAGAUCAGAAUAUUAAUUUGAAGCGGAAAUCAAAUGACAUUAUAACCUUCAAGAUAGAAUGCAGUGCAUCAUGCAAGUCUACUUCAAAGGAAAACAAAUUAAGAGACAAACCUAUAACAUCUCCAUUCAGAAUGGCUGAAAAGAAUAUUUCACAUGUGCCAGAGGGAAUCUUUGAUGCAGUGAAAAAUCUUCAAUUGUCCCGCUCCGAAAUUCUGAAGUAAGUAAUGCAGGCCAAUUAAUUUAUGCUAUGAUAUUUUGUAUAAUAAACUGGUUAUAUGUGAUUUAUGGUACAUGUGUAAUGCAUCAAACUAGAAAUAACCAAAAACAAUCCAAAUUACCUCAAAACUAUAUCAUAGAGCAUACAUUUUCACUUACAAUAAAAUUGGAUCUUGGUGAUUUUUACUUAACAUUAACAAAAUGUCCUUUGUAUGAUUGUAUCAGAUGGAUUACUGUUCAUGGCUCAAUCUCGCAACUUAAUGGUUUUUUCUUGCGUCUGCGGCUUGGAAAAUGG